GACGAACGCUGGCGGCGUGCCUAAUACAUGCAAGUAGAACGCAGUUGCGAACGGGUGAGUAAAGCGUAGGUAACUGCCUCAUAGCGGGGGAUUACUAACGGAAACGAUAGCUAAAACCGCAAACUGUGAGAUGGACCUGCGUUGUGUUGGAUAGUUGGUGAGGUAAAGGGCCAACAAGGCGACUAUAACUAGCCGACCUGAGAGGGUGAUCGGCCAAACUGGGAAUGCGACACGGGCCAGGCUCCUACGGGAGGCAGCAGGAGGGAAACUUCGGCAAUUGGCGGAAGUCUGACCGAACAACGCCGGGUGAGUGGAGGAGGUUUUCGGAUCGUAAAGCUCUGUUGGUAGAGGAGCGGUAACUAACGAGAAAGGGACGGCUAACUACGUGCCAGCAGCCGCGGUAAUAC
rnacentral:rRNA from 1 species